rnacentral:rRNA from 1 species
UACGUAGGGCGCAAGCGUUGUCCGGAAUUAUUGGGCGUAAAGAGCUCGUAGGUGGUUUGUCGCGUCUGCCGUGAAAGCCCGGGGCUUAACUCCGGGUCUGCGGUGGAUACGGGCAGACUAGAGGCAGGUAGGGGAGAACGGAAUUCCCGGUGUAGCGGUGAAAUACGCAGAUAUCAGGAGGAACACCGGUGGCGAAGGCGGGUCUCUGGGCAGUAACUGACGCUGAGGAGCGAAAGCGUGGGGAGCGAACAGG